AGAGUUUGAUCCUGGCUCAGGAUGAACGCUAGCUACAGGCUUAACACAUGCAAGUCGAGGGGAAACGACAUCGAAAGCUUGCUUUUGAUGGGCGUCGACCGGCGCACGGGUGAGUAACGCGUAUCCAACCUGCCCACCACUUGGGGAUAACCUUGCGAAAGUAAGACUAAUACCCAAUGACGUCUCUAGAAGACAUCUGAAAGAGAUUAAAGAUUUAUCGGUGAUGGAUGGGGAUGCGUCUGAUUAGCUUGUUGGCGGGGUAACGGCCCACCAAGGCGACGAUCAGUAGGGGUUCUGGAGAGGAAGGUCCCCCACGAUUGGAACUGAGACACGGGUCCAAACUCCUAACGGGAGGCCA
rnacentral:rRNA from 1 species